UUUACAUCUAUGUUUUAUAGAAAUAAUUUACCAGAAGAAUUAAUGGCGUAAAUGAGAUGGUAGGGGUUAUACUAAACUUUUUUAAGGCAGCAAGUAUUUUUCUAACAAUGAUGCUCCGUAUGAAAAUAAAACUUAAAAUUCAUACAUUGGUGUGGUUCAAUGAAUGCCUAUAGCAACAUUUUCAACAUUCCCUCAAAGAGAAUUAUGGGGAGAGAGAUUGCAAGAUUCCUGAGCUAUACCCCAAAACUUCUGAAUCAGGAUCCCUGGGGAUGGAACCUAGGAAUGUGUAUUUUAGCAAGAUUUCUGGGUGAUUCAUGAGUUUACUAAAGUUUAAGAAUAGCUAUUGCACAUAAUAUUGGCAUAUAUAUGUAUAUAUAAAUAUAUAUAAAUUAAAUUAAAUUUUGUUUUAUUUAUACAUACAUAUAUAUAUAUAUAUAUAUAUAUUUUUUUUUUUGCAAUCACGUAUGCCUUAAUUGAAGUAACCCAGCAAAGUCUCCUUAGCAGUUGCCCAAACUUUCUUUGUGUACUAAAAAACACUGAGGCCUCUUCUCUUUAAAAUAUUCCAGAAUUCACUAUUCUAUUAGUGCAGACUGAUCUUACCCCAUAAUGGAGAGCUGUCACUGAAACAUACUCCAGCUUCCCAUGAUCACUGGCAAGCUUCCUACACUAUAACCCUGUAACAGUCAGAAGACCUCAUACCUUCAAAAUUAUGAUGGUAAGAUUCGGAUUCAAGAAGAUUAUGAGGAAACGAAAGGGCAGGCUGGGAUCCUGGGAGGCCUAGAAAGAGAACCAGGAUAGAACAUGACAGGGACUCGGUUACCGAACAAGGAGAGGCUUGGUCAAAAGGGACAGGUCAGGAGCCCAGGUAUAGGAACAAAGCUCAGAACAGGUUGGCUGCCGUGAGGCUGCCUUGAUUUCGAGCCUCUGUAUGUACAAUCCACCCCUGAGUUGACGCAUAAGCAAAGGUGACAUGAACCCUUAACACCUCUGAGAAUAUGAGAAAGAAUCUCUUACUCUGUUUGAUUUUGACUUUUCACAAGUGGAUGGCUUGUUCAGUAUUUGUACCCAUUCCCUUGUUAAUAAAAUAAUCCCUAUGUCUGAAGUUGCUGGUUUAUAUUUCCUUAGAUGUUUGUUUCCCUAACUCUGCCAAUCUGGGGUUAGGACCACGUUUUCCACCCAUUUCUGUAUACAGGAUAUCAUAUAGAUGUGCACAUGUGCACAUGCACACACCCACACACAUUUCAGACCAGCAUGUGUAUGUAUAUACUUAAAAUAUUUUAAGCUGGGCUUUGAUUCAAAACCGGAUCUUUGUAUCUUAUUUUAUAAUGGCAAAGAAUGUGCAGCAAAUACAAAAUUGACC
rnacentral:lncRNA from 1 species